CGGCCGCCACCUACGUGCAGAACCAGAGCGAGGACUGCCUGUACCUCAACCUCUACGUGCCCACUGAGGACGGUCCGCUCACAAAAAAACGUGACGAGGCGACGCUCAAUCCGCCAGACACAGGUAGAUUUAAAAAUCCCGCUGAUGCAUGUGGUUGCUUUGAAGAGGACUCUGAUGGCCCUGCCCCUAACUAAAUGUCCCCACAGCUCUCAAGGCCCCCCUCCAGUCGUUCUCCCAACUAAAAAUGCAAAAGAAAAGAAAAAAUUUUUAAUAAUUGUAAAAAAGAAUUAUGAAAACUUCAAACAAAAUUUGAACAAUGUUGGACCCACUAGUUAACCUGCCAGAAAGGCUAGCCAUGGUGAAAUAAGGUGGAAAGAGAAGGAGGAAUUGGAUUGCCAGAAAAAAAAGCUGGAUAAAAUGUUGAGAGUUUAAAAGAAAUCUGGAGUGUUUCACAACAUGUGAAAUGUACCAUUUGACCAGAAAAAAAAAAAAAAAAAAAAAGCUUUAAUCUGAAGCAAAAUAACAUUUGAAAAAAAUUGACAAAUUAGUGACAUUAAUCAAAAUAUUAGAAACCUGCUACAAUUUCUAACCAAAGCCUGUCAGAUUUAAAAAAAAAAAAAAAGUGAAC
rnacentral:lncRNA from 1 species